CCGCGCGCACGCCGAGGCCGAGCCCGACUCGACCCCGCGUCCUGGUCCACUUCGAGCGCCGAUGACCCGUCGUACGCGAGCCCAACUGCUCGAGAGACCCCGCGAACCCCUCCUGACCUCUGUUUCUGCCGCACGCGCCGCCUGGGGCGAGUUGGAUCUCGCCGUCGAGCUCCGAGUCCGCCGCCGUUCAUCGGACGCUGCCGUCGUCCAGAGCGAGAGGAACAAGAUCGUCCGCCGCCGCCGGAGCACCGCCGACGUUCACGAUCCCGCCGUCGCUACAGAGGGCACCCCGUCGCCGUCCGACCUCACCUACGCCUCCGCCACUCACCGAAGCAACCUCCCGUAGCCUCACCUUCGCCGGAGCACUGCCGGGGGAGCGCCACCGCCGACGCAGACCGCCGCCGCCGUGUUCCCUGUUCUGAUUGUCCGGAGUGCGACGCGAGCUAUUGUCAGGAGUGUGACUUUCUGAACCAUAACCAAG